UAUUAAAUAAUACUUCUCUAAUUAAAUAUUUAACUUGUUGAAUCAAAUUCCAAAAAAAAGGAAGAAUGAAGAGGAAUUGUUGACAAUGACCACUAGUCAGCAAAUUCCUCCCCCAAAAAUCAAUAGAAAAAAGUUGUAUGUAUAUUAAUAAAGUUAAAUAUAGUGCCUUAUCCGUGCAGAAAACAUGAAAUUGCAGGAAAGUGAUGCAAUCUUAAUAAACCACCCACUCUGCUUAACAUUGUUUAUCACGACAAUAUUUGGUUAACAUAGGAAAUCGCAGAUUAAGUGCAUAAUUACGAAUGUGGAAAACAUUAAGGCCACAAAAAGUACAUGAAGAUCUUGGUUGCAGAAACUUAAACUAGUCAUCUUCGCGAAAUCCUGCAAUGCAAAUGACCGAAGCGAUGUCAUACCACAGGUCACCGAUUUUACCACAAAAAAACAAACAUCGGAAAAAUUAAAACCGAUAUAGUAUAUAAUAGUAUAUAAAAGGAACAACAAACUUGCGAGUAUCAACAAAAAGUUGCGGUCAAAUACUGUCUGACAGACUGUGAUAAUAUAUAAUAUAUAUGGAACCGUUUCUAUUUU